rnacentral:lncRNA from 1 species
UGAUGUUUGGGCUGGUUUGCCAUGCCCCCAGGUCUCAGAUGGGUAUGCAGGUGGGCCUAGAUGCAUGUGUGCGCACAUAGUGGGGUUGUGUUAUAGGAGAGGUACACUGAAUGUGGUGGAUUCAUUGCUUUUAUAAUGAGCAGUGACAAGCUCUGCUUUUGUCUGGAAGGAGAUAUUACCUGAUUUCUCAAGGGAGCUCAUUGAGCCACUGCCUCUGUAAAGAGUGGUCAGGGACUCGCAUUCUUGGCAUGCCUAGCACAAAUGUGCAGGGACCCUCAGGAACCAUGGCGCAUUGCCUUUUGGUAAGUCAGAUUGACCAAAUGGCCUGCUUUGUGAUUUGAUAAGAUGUUCUGAUUUGGGGGUUGACCAUAAGUCUGGGUUCACAGGUUGAUCAGAUGUCUUGAUUCAACCAACUGUUCCUUUUAGAAGUUUGGUUGACUAGAUGUCCAUUUAGAUAAUUGGCCAAAAAAGACUCAGAUAGUGCUGGGCUUUAACGUUUGUCAGGGCGGAGGCUUCCACCACUGGGGAGUGGAGCUAGAGCCUGUGCCCCAAUAGAUUGAGUUCCCAGGUCCAGGAGUUCCAGAGAGGGCAAGAGAGCCACACUGGGGGCCUCGGAUUACCUGUAAUUCCUGGUGAUCUCCUCCUCAGACUUCUCAGAACACACCACUGUGGCCCCUGGAGCUCCCUGGAACCAUUCCACUCCUCUCCCCUCUACCUUGAUUGAGAAAUGGGCUGGAAGUGACUGGGUUAGGAGGCUAGCCAGUUCUGUUGAGGUGGGGGACGGUUCCCUAUUUUAGGCUUCGGAUCAUCCCUGGUCUUCUGAGGGUCUUCAAUAAAGACCUCUAUACUCUCUUUGGAGCCUU